rnacentral:sRNA from 2 species
CAAGCCGUCUUUGGGGAGUAGCCUUCCUUCCGCCUUGGAAGGAGAACGCGUCAACAUCCUCGGCUUUUCUGCCGUGGCGCGUUCGACCGCGAGUUCAUUCGCUCGGUUUGGCGAGACCAUUGAUGCAUCGUGUCGUUCCUGGUCGGACGGCGUGCGAUGCAUCAUGGUUCGCUGAC